rnacentral:sRNA from 1 species
UAAAUAGCACUGUUUAGUCAGGUGUCGUUUAGGAAUUCAAUGUUAUUUAUGCUGAGAUGACAAGAUCAUACUUAUCGCUAUAAACUGAGUUUAACUCAAUUACCCGACAACAAAAGACAGUGAUUAAGUUUUUGUAUAUAUCCAUUUCUUGCUAAAAGAUGGUAAGUACUUUUAAUUCAAAGGUUGAGGAAAAACUCUUUGAUUCUUUUUGACUGUCGAUUAACAAAGAUCUCCACCAGCGGUUUGACAUGAUAAUGCCAUGCUUGACGCACGGUCAUUAAGAGUACAAUGGAAACCGAUUCCUUUCCUCUCUCCUUUUACUCACACCUUCUGUAGGAGCAGGCGUUGUCACGCGAGCUUUCCUGACCCGGAUUUUCACAGAUUCGCGUCGCUAUCCCCCGGACACCACCGGAGCUGACAUUGUUCGGACAGUGGACAUGUUGGCCCAACAUGACACCGGUCCACACGUAACGUCACGCCAAUCUUGCAGGGAUGGAAGAAAACUUCGCACCUGGAGCCUAGGUCUGUAGAGUGACCAGUUCCUGCCAAACAAUGACCUGUCUCAGGACACGGUGGCUUGACCCCGGGGAUGUCACACACGGUGCCCCCGCGAUGCUAUCGAAUGUCACAUGUCCCGUUAGUUCCACAAUUAACCAGACCAUUAAAUGACUUUUAUAGAAUGGUGACGACAAAAUAAUGGCCGUGAAGUAAUGUUUGGAAACAGGGACAGGUGCUCGGUAGAACGAGCUACCAUGGAAGUCAUCUGACACCUAAGUGUCGUCAAUAAUCUGAUCUGCAUCUCAAAAACAGGGGCAUUUAACAACAACAAUUGAAGCCCCGUUUCUGGGGGUUCGGAUUUUUAUUUUUUUUUUACAUAUGGUUAACAAAAAUUACACUAUCACUUGUGAGACCAUAUUUAGGUAAAAACAAAAAUUAGCAUAAGUAUCUUAAGGUUUCCUUCCUACUUUGUACAAUCUUUUCCAGUUGCUUCUAUCAUACGAUGAAAGAGAUACGAAUCAAUUCGUUAUCAGCCACCAAAAAUUCUGUUUUGUCCCUUAAAUAGAAAAAAAUGUAAAAUGCUAGAUCAGCACAUUUUUAAGAUAAGCGAUGAAAGCGUUAUUAGGCGCAUGACCUUCCUAUAGGAGCCUCCAGUCAAUGAGAAUCAGCCAAAAACGAGCAGCUGAGAAUUCCCUGAUAAUACGAGGGUGUAGAAAUCUACCCCGCUCUACUGACCCAGUUUAUAAAAGAGGGUAUGACUUUUUUUCUAGGUUCCUCAAGGUAAUGCUGUGUUAAAACGACUGUUUUGAGAGAAAAAUGUUAAAAUCAAACUGUGUGAUAAAAAUCACAUUUCAAAUUUUGAAGAAAAAAAAAUGAAAAAAAAAAUCGCUACAGUCGGUACCAGUCUCCUGAUAUAUGUUUGUUGUUAUCCUAAGCAAUUUGAAUGGCAAUUUUGUAUGUAAGUUAUUGCGCCCUUAAUAAUUGUGCUUAUUUUAUUGACUAACCAACUGUUAAAUGUGUUGUUUCGGUCGCAAUAUAACCAUAAUAUACAAUAAA